CGUAGACCAGGAAGCACGGACGCGCGGCCGUUUUCCUUUUUUUUUCUGCUCUUUUUUUCUUUCUGUUGUUUUUCUUCCGGGGUUCAUCCGUUCAUCCACUCGGGGCCGGAGGGCGUAGAUGUGGACACCGAACACCGAACACCGACCGCGGCCGAGGAGGAGACUGACAGGCGGAUCCGUCCGGUCCGGGCUCCGCGGUGGAUGCGUCUGACUGCACCGGAGACACACGGUGUGUGUAGCAGCGUGGGC